rnacentral:rRNA from 1 species
UACGUAGGGUGCGAGCGUUGUCCGGAAUUACUGGGCGUAAAGAGCUCGUAGGUGGUUUGUCGCGUUGUUCGUGAAAACCGGGGGCUUAACCCUCGGCGUGCGGGCGAUACGGGCAGACUUGAGUACUGCAGGGGAGACUGGAAUUCCUGGUGUAGCGGUGGAAUGCGCAGAUAUCAGGAGGAACACCGGUGGCGAAGGCGGAUCUCUGGGCCAUUACUGACGCUGAGGAGCGAAAGCGUGGGGGAGCGAACAGG